rnacentral:lncRNA from 1 species
AUGGUUUCCUCUGCACCUGCGUGUCUCACCGGGGCCACAAAGCCGUGUCUACAAGCUAAAGAAAAGAGGAAGGAACAAACUGAAGAAGCAGGGAAACCGGCGUCUCUCCUGCGUGUCAAAGGAUACGUUGGUAGAGAAUUUGGGUCUGAAAGUUCCCGUGUGGGAACCUCUCCCUCUGACAGGCGUGGGGUGGCAGGGACCGGCGCGAGCGUGCCCCGUCACCGCAGCUCUGCUGGACUGCUGCUCCGCCAGCCAGCCCUUUCCGAGCACCGUCCGAGGGCGAAAGCCAGCACGGAGGGCUCCUUGGAGCGGGGGUCCCCUGGAGCUCGCUGCCCGGGCCAGCCGCAGGGCGGUGGGCACAGCUCUAAUCCUGAUGGCUUUCCGGUGCGUGGGAGGGAGCCAGGGGCCUGCCGGGCUGCUGCGAGGGUGGGGGGCGCCGGGGAGCCUGCGGGCAGGUCUGCCGGCGGCGCUUGUACGGCCGUGCGCCUUUGGCCGGCGUGGAGCCGAGGCUUCGCUCGGCUGCUUGCUUUCGGUGGCUCGUGUCCUCGCGCGUCGUCCAUCGCUGCGGGGUCCCAGAGCCGCCAGCAAUUGUCGGGGGGCUGCCGCGGCAUCCCGGCGGGAGCAGCGCACGGCCUUCCUGGUAGGCGGAGAAAGUGGGAAUCGCACGAGGGCCUCGGGCAGGUUUUGUUGGUGAGCAGAAGGCCGUCGAGAUCCCGGGAGCAGGCUCAGGACGUGCCGGUCCUCGGGAGCAGGGCGGGAGUGCCGCACCGUGCCGCUCGUCUCUGCGGCCCCGAGCCCUGUUUGCGAGGGCCCGGAGGGGCUGAGCAGGAGCCCGUCGCGGGCUUGCUGGCUGCCGCAGCGCGGAGCUGCCCCGGCGCAGAGCCCUGCGAGCCGCUGGCGCAUCCCCGGCGCCCCAAACCUGGGGUGAGGGGGUGUAAAACCGCACAGCGGGAUGCUUCCUCCUUCAGAGGCUUGGUUCCCUUCCCAGCUGCCCUUCUCUGUAGCCGGCACCUUGUUAUCUCAGGGAGGGACAGGUUGCAGGAACGCCCGCCGCACCUUUCCCCCUGCCGGGGCCGCGAGCCGGGGGCCCCUCGCCUCCCCUCCCUCCACCACUUUGCGCUUUCCCGGCCGUGCCUCGGCGCCUCGCGAGCGUCCCCGCGGGCCGGCGCCGUCCCCCUGGGGUGCGCGGGCAGGCCCUGCCGCCCCCGGGCAAGGCUUUGCAGGGAGCGUCCGUCCGUCUGUCCGCUCUUAAAGCGUUGCCAAGCAAGGAGCGCCGGGGCGGGAGGCGCCUGCAAAGCAGACAGGCAAAACGCAAGACCGAAGCAGGGCACAGCCGACCCCAUCCGGGGCUCGCUCCCGCCGAGCCAGGGCAGCUGCCCAUCCUCGGUGUGUGCGCGGACGUGUCUGCCUGCGCGUGUGCUUGGUUUGUUUAUUUAUUUAUUCGUAUUUAUUUAA